rnacentral:rRNA from 1 species
AUAGCUCACUGGUCGAGUCGGCCUGCGCGGAAGAUGUAACGGGGCUAAACCAUGCACCGAAGCUGCGGCAGCGACGCUGAUGCGUUGUUGGGUAGGGGAGCGUUCUGUAAGCCUGCGAAGGUGACCUGUGAGGGUUGCUGGAGGUAUCAGAAGUGCGAAUGCUGACAUAAGUAACGAUAAAGCGGGUGAAAAGCCCGCUCGCCGGAAGA